UGGGGCCCGAGCCCCGCCCGGCCCGCCAGCUAGGAGUUCGGCUCUUGCUGCCCAAGGCCCUUGCGAAAACACUCCAGCCUUAUCUUAAGAAAGGGAAAAGUGUGGGUGGACUCCCCGCAGGCUAAGAGUAGCUAAGAGUGUGCUUAGGAGAAAAGAGUUCAAGUGUGUGAGUCAGACAGCCUGAGCUUCAAAUAAGAUGUGUCCCCUUUAGCGACUUUAGGGCUUUGGGCAAGUUUUCUGACUUCUGGAAGACCAAGAAACCACCCACGGCAAGGCUGAAGGCGGACAAGGAACCAUGCCCGGUGCCUGCACCAGGGACCAGUUUCAUGGAAGACAGUAAUUCCACAGACGGGGACAGAGAAGAUGGUGAGUGACCGGGAGCGGCUGUAAAUACCGAUGAAGCUUCGCUCACUCGCCGCUCACCUCCUGCUGUGUGGCCCGGUUCCUAACAGCCCACGGAAAACAUUCGCUGAUCCCUGUUUUAUAGUAUAUUAUUUUGGGGUCUCAUUCAAGCCUUCUGCAGAGAUUAAAGAGUCAGGACUGUUUUUCAGGGAAAACGGUGACCCUAUUGGAAGGCAUCCCCUCAACCUAACCCCCAUGCAUAGCUGGGGGCCUUCAUUAGGCACAAACCCCAGUUGGCUUCUUUAAGACUCCGUCCCUGCCUUUGGGUGAUUGUCAAAGUAAUUUGAUUUGCUUUGAAUUUCUUUUCCUAAUGCUGUUUUUAAAAAAUACUGAUCAUUUGAAUUACAAAAGCAGUGUGUAUCUUUUGUAGCAAUUCAAACAAUAAAGAAGUGUCUAAAAUAAAAUUGUCUCUCUACUCCUCUCCAACCCAACUCCCUG